AUCCAGCUGAGGAGUCCCAAAUAGGACGAAACACGCGUCCUGGUU
rnacentral:hammerhead_ribozyme from 1 species